rnacentral:rRNA from 1 species
CGGGACGGGUGAGUAAUGUCUGGGAAACUGCCUGAUGGAGGGGGAUAACUACUGGAAACGGUAGCUAAUACCGCAUAACGUCGCAAGACAAGAGGGGACUUCGGGCCUCUUGCCAUCGGAUGUGCCCAGAUGGGAUUAGCUAGUAGGUGGGGUAACGGCUCACCUAGGCGACGAUCCCUAGCUGGUCUGAGAGGAUGACCAGCCACACUGGAACUGAGACACGGUCCAG